rnacentral:rRNA from 1 species
UGGGGAAUAUUGCACAAUGGGCGCAAGCCUGAUGCAGCCAUGCCGCGUGUGUGAAGAAGGCCUUCGGGUUGUAAAGCACUUUCAGCGGGGAGGAAGGCGAUAAGGUUAAUAACCUCAUCGAUUGACGUUACCCGCAGAAGAAGCACCGGCUAACUCCGCGCCAGCAGCCGCGGUAAUACGGAGGGUGCAAGCGUUAAUCGGAAUUACUGGGCGUAAAGCGCACGCAGGCGGUCUGUCACGUCGGAUGUGAAAUCCCCGGGCUUAACCUGGGAACUGCAUUCGAAACUGGCAGGCUAGAGUCUUGUAGAGGGGGGUAGAAUUCCAGGUGUAGCGGUGAAAUGCGUAGAGAUCUGGAGGAAUACCGGUGGCGAAGGCGGCCCCCUGGACAAAGACUGACGCUCAGGUGCGAAAGCGUGGGGAGCAAACAGG